UUAAGCGACUAAGCGUACACGGUGGAUGCCCUGGCAGUCAGAGGCGAUGAAGGACGUGCUAAUCUGCGAAAAGCGUCGGUAAGGUGAUAUGAACCGUUACAGCCGGCGAUGUCCGAAUGGGGAAACCCAGUGUGAUUCGUCACACUAUCGUUAACUGAAUACAUAGGUUAACGAGGCGAACCGGGGGAACUGAAACAUCUAAGUACCCCGAGGAAAAGAAAUCAACCGAGAUUCCCCCAGUAGCGGCGAGCGAACGGGGAGCAGCCCAGAGUCUGAAUCAGCUUGUGUGUUAGUGGAACGGUCUGGAAAGUCCGACGGUACAGGGUGAUAGUCCCGUACACCAAAAUGCACAGGCUGUGAACUCGAAGAGUAGGGCGGGACACGUGGUAUCCUGUCUGAAUAUGGGGGGACCAUCCUCCAAGGCUAAAUACUCCUGACUGACCGAUAGUGAACCAGUACCGUGAGGGAAAGGCGAAAAGAACCCCGGCGAGGGGAGUGAAAAAGAACCUGAAACCGUGUACGUACAAGCAGUGGGAGCACCUUCGGGUGUGACUGCGUACCUUUUGUAUAAUGGGUCAGCGACUUAUAUUCUGUAGCAAGGUUAACCGUAUAGGGGAGCCGCAGGGAAACCGAGUCUUAACUGGGCGUUAAGUUGCAGGGUAUAGACCCGAAACCCGGUGAUCUAGCCAUGGGCAGGUUGAAGGUUGGGUAACACUAACUGGAGGACCGAACCGACUAAUGUUGAAAAAUUAGCGGAUGACUUGUGGCUGGGGGUGAAAGGCCAAUCAAACCGGGAGAUAGCUGGUUCUCCCCGAAAGCUAUUUAGGUAGCGCCUCGUGAACUCAUCUUCGGGGGUAGAGCACUGUUUCGGCUAGGGGGUCAUCCCGACUUACCAACCCGAUGCAAACUACGAAUACCGAAGAAUGUUAUCACGGGAGACACACGGCGGGUGCUAACGUCCGUCGUGAAGAGGGAAACAACCCAGACCGCCAGCUAAGGUCCCAAAGUCAUGGUUAAGUGGGAAACGAUGUGGGAAGGCACAGACAGCCAGGAUGUUGGCUUAGAAGCAGCCAUCAUUUAAAGAAAGCGUAAUAGCUCACUGGUCGAGUCGGCCUGCGCGGAAGAUGUAACGGGGCUAAACCAUGCACCGAAGCUGCGGCAGCGACACUAUGUGUUGUUGGGUAGGGGAGCGUUCUGUAAGCCUGCGAAGGUGUGCUGUGAGGCAUGCUGGAGGUAUCAGAAGUGCGAAUGCUGACAUAAGUAACGAUAAAGCGGGUGAAAAGCCCGCUCGCCGGAAGACCAAGGGUUCCUGUCCAACGUUAAUCGGGGCAGGGUGAGUCGACCCCUAAGGCGAGGCCGAAAGGCGUAGUCGAUGGGAAACAGGUUAAUAUUCCUGUACUUGGUGUUACUGCGAAGGGGGGACGGAGAAGGCUAUGUUAGCCGGGCGACGGUUGUCCCGGUUUAAGCAUGUAGGCUGAUUGUCCAGGCAAAUCCGGAUAAUCAAGGCUGAGGUGUGAUGACGAGGCACUACGGUGCUGAAGUAACAAAUGCCCUGCUUCCAGGAAAAGCCUCUAAGCAUCAGGUAACAUUAAAUCGUACCCCAAACCGACACAGGUGGUCAGGUAGAGAAUACCAAGGCGCUUGAGAGAACUCGGGUGAAGGAACUAGGCAAAAUGGUGCCGUAACUUCGGGAGAAGGCACGCUGGUGUGUAGGUGAAGUCCCUGCGGAUGGAGCUGAGACCAGUCGAAGAUACCAGCUGGCUGCAACUGUUUAUUAAAAACACAGCACUGUGCAAACACGAAAGUGGACGUAUACGGUGUGACGCCUGCCCGGUGCCGGAAGGUUAAUUGAUGGGGUUAUCCGUAAGGAGAAGCUCUUGAUCGAAGCCCCGGUAAACGGCGGCCGUAACUAUAACGGUCCUAAGGUAGCGAAAUUCCUUGUCGGGU
rnacentral:rRNA from 1 species